AUACGGAGGAUCCAAGCGUUAUCCGGAAUCAUUGGGUUUAGAGGGUCCGUAGGCGGGUUUGUAAGUCAGUGGUGAAAGUUUUCGGCUCAACCGGAAAAUUGCCAUUGAUACUGCAAGUCUUGAAUCAUUAUGAAGUGGUUAGAAUGUGUAGUGUAGCGGUGAAAUGCAUAGAUAUUACACAGAAUACCGAUUGCGAAGGCAGAUCACUAAUAAUGUAUUGACGCUAAGGGACGAAAGCGUGGGGAGCAAACAGGAGUAGAUACCCUAGUAGUCC
rnacentral:rRNA from 1 species